rnacentral:rRNA from 1 species
CCUACGGGGGGCAGCAGUAGGGAAUCUUUCACAAUGGGCGAAAGCCUGAUGGAGCAACGCCGCGUGCAGGAUGAAGGCAUUCGGGUUGUAAACUGCUUUUAUAAGCGAGAAAUAUGAUGGUAACUUAUGAAUAAGGAUCGGCUAACUACGUGCCAGCAGCCGCGGUCAUACGUAGGAUCCGAGCAUUAUCCGGAGUGACUGGGUGUAAAGAGUUGCGUAGGUGGCAUAAGAAGUAGCUAGUGAAAUCUGGUGGCUCAACCAUUCAGACUAUUAGCUAAACUGUUAAGCUCGAGACCGUUAGGGGUAACUGGAAUUUCUAGUGUAGGAGUGAAAUCCGUAGAUAUUAGAAGGAACACCAAUAGCGUAGGCAGGUUGCUGGGACGGUUCUGACACUAAGGCACGAAAGCGUAGGGAGCAAACGGGAUUAGAUACCCGGGUAGUC